UGUCCUGGUCCACCAUUGUGUGUGAUGACAGUCCAAGUGUCUUGACAAUGAACUGCCCAUCACCACUUCUUUGAAUAUCGUAAUUGGCAGCUGCUGCUUCUGGGAAUCGUACCUGAUAGUCUCUCCAAAAGCACCUUGGAGACUCCAGUGUUGGCCAAUCUAGAUGGUUAACUGGAUGGAUGUCCUGGCUAGUGUUAGUGCCAAUUUGACCCAAGCUAGCGUCAUAUGAAAGGAGGGAGGCUCAACUGAGGAAAUGCUUCUGCAAUCUAGUGAUAGAGCAUUUUCUUGAUUAGUUGAUAGAGGAGGGCCCAGUCCAUUAUGGGCUGUACUACCCCUGGGAUCUAUAAAGAAGCGGGCUGAGCAAGCCAGGAUGAGCAAAACUGCACAUCUCCCUUCUGAGACUCUGCACGACUCCUCCAUGAUGUCUGCACCACACCACCAUGGUCUCUACAUCAGCUCUUGCUUCCAGGUUCCUGCCCUGUUUGAGUUCCUGACCUGACUUCCUUCCAUGGUGACUAGAGAUUUGCAAGAAUAACCCAGAUCAACCCUUUCCUCUCCUAGCUUGCUGUGGUUAUGGUGCUACAUCACAGUAGUAGUAACCCCCACCAGCACAAUGGGAUUCAGAGUUACCAUGGAAACAGACCCAGUGCCUGCCUCAGAGUGUUAUCACUGGGUUAAUGGAAUUUGGAAGACCCACUGUCAAUGCGGUGGCAUCCCUGAACAGGGCAACGUAUUAUGUGGACCCAGACCAUGUAACACAAGACCCCUCCCCAUCCAAUCGUUGGCAUCUCAUACCUGCUCAAGCUAGCAGUUCAAGGAGGAGACAGCAACCCAAGCUGAAAUGAUGGUGACCAUCGGUCUUGCUGAAUGGAUUAGCCGUGAAGCUCCACCCGGUUGGCUGCUCCAUGUCCACUUGCUUACAUUAUCCUAAGGAAGAGCAACCUAAAAUGCAAAUCUGUCCGUUCACACGGGGAAGUUCUGCUGCAGACAGUGCAUUAUUCAUUUUGCUGGCCUGGGUGUGUUCCUCAAAGGUGAUUUUAACAGUGGCUUCAAACGGAAAACAAUGGAUUCUAUCUCCAGCCUCCUAGAGAGGCUGAUUCAUGUAUCCUGCCAUGUUGGGAGAUUAAUACAUCUGAGAACAAUUUAUCCAGAAUAUCCACACGCACCCGCUGGAUUAAAAAAAAGAAAAGGUCUGCCACCCUCAUCACACCGAUAAAGACAGCUCACCGGCUGGGACUCCUAAGAUCUACCCCAGGCCAGGGAAGGGAGGCAGGAAAGGAAAGACCACACUGCACAUUUGCGAGAUUUAGAUUUCUAAUCUUAGGAGCACACAGAGGUCAGAGAACAGCACAUAUCCCCCGGAACUGAAGUGAUGAGGAGUUCAACACAGCCUACUGAACAGCUGCCAGAUGUGGCUCCCGGCUUUGGCCAGAUUUCUCUCUAAGAAGUGUGGAUACCGCAAAUAGAGGAGCCAGAAGCUGGGACUUCCUGUCUUUCCAAGAACAUCUAGAAGUAGGAUUUUAUUUUUUAUUUUUGCCACCAUGACGUGAAAGAUGGUAGACGUAUUUAUUCCUUGCUUUGCCAGGUUCAUAAACCAUUUACUUGGUUAACCAGAGUUGAGUUUUCACUGUGCAAAAGUGGAAACCAAAUGGUAUGCUUUCAGACCAGAUGUGCCAAUGGCACCUUGUUGGCGAAAGGAUCCAUGGCUAGGACAUGUGGCAUCUUGGUAUAAUGAUGAUUCUAGAGGGUCCUUGGGAAUCAUGUGAGGCUAGAAAAGACUUGUGAUGCCAAGUCUGGAUGGGAUUUGAAUUAAUACCUCUGGCCACGUCUGCAAGGCAAUGCCCAGAUUCAAUCAACUUAGGUAGGAGCACCCAUGCUAAAUGACAGCGACAUCAUGGACAUCAUGUUGUGAGCGGGGAUAAAUAGGAGGGAGUGAGCUGAGUGCCAGCCCUUACACCUCUCUGGUUCUUGAACGUGGAUACAGUGUCUCCAGCUGCCCCAAGCUCCUGCCCCUUUACUCACCAGGACGGACUGUACCCUUGAACUAUGAGCCAAAAUAAACCUUCCUUCCUUAAGUUAAGUCUGUCAGAUAUUUUGUCUCAGCAACAACUGACUGAUGAAACUCUCCUCUCUCAUUUGUUGACUAAAGACCAGAUCCACAUUUUCCUUCCAUCUCUUUCCUGUUCUUUGUUCACUGAAGAUUUCACUCCACGGCCGUCAAGUGACUCGGCCGGUAAAGGCGUUGCCAUCUAUCCGAGAGCCACUCUCAUCUUUCCAGAAAUCAUCUACGUCCCUGUGACAGCCGUGUCCCCCAUUCCUGUUCUACCAUUAGACGGACAGGAAGAGCGGGCUAAGUUCUUACGUAUGAUGGAAUCAAGUCAUGUGCCUUCUGCCCCGUGCAUCUGCCUAUUGUCAGUUCAUUUCUAGUGACUCAAAUGAUUGACCGUUCAGCAGAAGGAGAGCAGUUCCCUACAAGGAGGAGACAAAGAUGGGCUUCUUUCAGCCCCUUCUCAAUGCCCAACAUGGCUGAAACUCCCUAAGUACGGGGAUAUCUUGGUCUGGAGCUUCAUAAACAAUUUCCCCCACCGGAUCCGCUUCCCCUCCAGCACUCUUUCUCCAAAGGCUCUAUUAGAGUAUUUGAUGGUAAUGUUUCUUGGCUGCCUCACAUCAUUCCUAUCAGAGCAGCUGAUACAAAACACAAUUAGGAUCGGGAGUCAGCAGAUCAUCUGAAGACCACUGUGACCGCCUUACCGAAUUGCUGCCUGGGACACGGCUUGCAGUUUAGAUGUCUCUCUGGUGCCUUUGUAUCUGUGGCAUUCAUGAACUUAUGACAGCUGUGCUGCGAUGACCACCUGCACGACGCCUGCACAGAAUCAAAUCGGCAGCAAUGAGGCAAGGCUAGGGGGAGGGCUCAUGAAGUCCCACUCCUAUCAGAAGAGCUAUUUAUUGACAUUCAAAGGCUGCUGAUGGAGCGGGAGUAAAUGUCUUCAGGGAUGGCAUCCUAGAGGCUCUAUGCAUGCUCAAGUGGACGAGGCUACAUCCAUGACCAUAAGAGGCAGCACCAAGUGCACUCAGUAGGUUUAAAAAUAAAUCCCAUGAAGACAGGAGGGAAAACUGGUGAGAGACAGAGGAGAGGCUGGGUAGGAAGACUUGAUCAAAAUACAAACAUGUCUGAGACUUUCAAAAAUAAAUUUUUAAAAUGUGUCUGUA